rnacentral:rRNA from 1 species
UCUGGAAACCAUAGAGCUGUGGCACCACCUGAUCCCAUUCCGAACUCAGAAGUGAAACACAGUAUCGCCGAUGGUAGUGUGGGGUCUCCCCAUGC